GCUAUGGCAACACAGAAGAUUGUAUUCAUGUAAUGGCGACAUUGUGGUUAAGAUGGUUGACGAGUGGUUACGAGAGUAAUUCCUUGUCUAGAACAAAGAUACAAGAUUAUACUCUUGGCUACUGCACAUGCACACUAACACUAGAAGAUUUGCACUCUCUUCAAAAGAUCUGCGCUCACCAAGAACGCAUUGGUAACCCUUUACAGACCUGUCCAACAAAUGCAAUAGAGUCUCACGAAGUGUCCAGCUGCGCUCUAUGUGAAAGCAUGCGCACUAGCCGACAACGCUUUCCCCCGACUUGUCUACUCAGUGUUAAAACUGUUCAAUAAACUUCUUAAGAUUUA